rnacentral:misc_RNA from 1 species
GAGAGUUGCAGGCUUUUGUCUGCCAUCUCUUACCCAUGUCUUUUGCGUACUACACGUUUCCUCGGCAGGUCCGCCUGCCGUUAGGACCCCAUUAAACCAUUUGCAGUUGCAGUCAGCGUCUGAAAAAUUUAAUAAUUACAACUUUUAACAACGGAUCUCUUGGUUCU